rnacentral:tRNA from 1 species
GCGGGUGUCGUAUAGCGGUUAUUAUGCGACCUUGCCAAGGUCGAGACGGCAGUUCGACUCUGCUCACCCGCUC